rnacentral:rRNA from 1 species
AACGAACGCUGGCGGCAUGCCUAACACAUGCAAGUCGAACGAGACCUUCGGGUCUAGUGGCGCACGGGUGCGUAACGCGUGGGAACCUGCCCUUAGGUUCGGAAUAACUCCCCGAAAGGGGUGCUAAUACCGGAUAAUGUCUUCGGACCGAAGAUUUAUCGCCUUUGGAUGGGCCCGCGUUGGAUUAGCUAGUUGGUAGGGUAAAAGCCUACCAAGGCGACGAUCCAUAGCUGGUCUGAGAGGAUGAUCAGCCACACUGGGACUGAGACACGGCCCAGACUCCUACGGGAGGCAGCAGUGGGGAAUAUUGGACCAUGGGCGAAAGCCUGAUCCAGCAAGGCCGCGUGAGUGAUGAAGGCCUUAGGGUUGUAAAGCUCUUUUAACCGGGAUGAUAAUGACAGUACCGGGAGAAUAAGCGCCGGCUAACUCCGUG